rnacentral:rRNA from 1 species
GUGGGGAAUCUUGCGCAAUGGGCGAAAGCCUGACGCAGCCAUGCCGCGUGAAUGAUGAAGGUCUUAGGAUUGUAAAAUUCUUUCACCGGGGACGAUAAUGACGGUACCCGGAGAAGAAGCUCCGGCUAACUUCGUGCCAGCAGCCGCGGUAAUACGAAGGGGGCUAGCGUUGCUCGGAAUUACUGGGCGUAAAGGGCGCGUAGGCGGACAGCUUAGUCAGAGGUGAAAGCCCAGGGCUCAACCUUGGAAUUGCCUUUGAUACUGGCUGUCUUGAGUUUGGGAGAGGUGAGUGGAACUCCGAGUGUAGAGGUGAAAUUCGUAGAUAUUCGGAAGAACACCAGUGGCGAAGGCGACUCACUGGCCCAAUACUGACGCUGAGGCGCGAAAGCGUGGGGAGCAAACAGGAUUAGAAACCCCAGUAGUCC